CGGGGGGAGCAAGCGUUGUUCGGAUUUACUGGGCGUAAAGGGCGCGUAGGCGGUCAGCACAAGUCAGUUGUGAAAUCUCCGGGCUUAACUCGGAAAGGUCAACUGAUACUGUGCGACUAGAGUGCAGAAGGGGCAACUGGAAUUCUCGGUGUAGCGGUGAAAUGCGUAGAUAUUGAGAGGAACACCUGCGGCGAAGGCGGGUUGCUGGGCUGACACUGACGCUGAGGCGCGAAAGCCAGGGGAGCGAACGGGAUUAGAUACCCCGGUAGUCCUGGCCUUAAACGAUGGAUGCUUGGUGUCUGGAGUUAUAUAGUCUCCGGGUGCCGCAGCUAACGCGUUAAGCAUCCCGCCUGGGGAGUACGGUCGCAAGACUG
rnacentral:rRNA from 1 species